GUGGCGGUGGAGGAGGAUGAGGUAGCCAACACUGUUUAUAUAUAUAUAUAUAUAUAUAUAUUUAUUUAUUUAUUUAUUUUUUGAUUGGGGUAGCCCCCAAAAUAUUGGGACAUAUAAAAAAUGACUACUCUGUUCCGCAGAGUAGCUCUUGAAAUUAUAGUUGCACAGGAACUUUGUUGACUCUAGAGAACUUCGUGCAAAUCGCACAUCCCUGUGGCAGCGACUUUGCAUGCGGAUGUCAUCCAUAUAAUAGCGGAUGUCGAUGCCAGUUUCUGCGCCUACCAUGGUGACCAUGGGUAACGGGGAAUCAGGGUUCCAUUCCGUACAGAGAAACGGCUACCACAUGCAAGGAAGGCA